GCAGUCGAGGGGUAUAGGUUUUCGGACCUAGAGACCGGCGCACGGGUGCGUAACGCGUAUGCAAUCUACCUUUUACAGAGGGAUAGCCCAGAGAAAUUUGGAUUAAUACCUCAUAGUAUUACGACUCGGCAUCGAGAUGUAAUUAAAGUCACAACGGUAAAAGAUGAGCAUGCGUCCCAUUAGCUUGUUGGUAAGGUAACGGCUUACCAAGGCAACGAUGGGUAGGGGUCCUGAGAGGGAGAUCCCCCACACUGGUACUGAGACACGGACCAGACUCCUACGGGAGGCAGCAGUGAGGAAUAUUGGUCAAUGGGCGCAAGCCUGAACCAGCCAUGCCGCGUGCAGGAUGAAGCAUCUAUGGUGUGUAAACUGCUUUUGUACGAGAAGAAACACUCCUACGUGUAGGAGCUUGACGGUAUCGUAAGAAUAAGGACCGGCUAACUCCGUGCCAGCAGCCGCGGUAAUACGGAGGGUCCAAGCGUUAUCCGGAAUCAUUGGGUUUAAAGGGUCCGUAGGCGGUUUUGUAAGUCAGUGGUGAAAGCCCAUCGCUCAACGGUGGAACGGCCAUUGAUACUGCAAGACUUGAAUUAUUGGGAAGUAACUAGAAUAUGUAGUGUAGCGGUGAAAUGCUUAGAGAUUACAUGGAAUACCAAUUGCGAAGGCAGGUUACUACCAAUAUAUUGACGCUGAUGGACGAAAGCGUGGGGAGCGAACAGGAUUAGAUACCCUGGUAGUCCACGCCGUAAACGAUGGAUACUAGCUGUUCGGAGCAAUCUGAGUGGCUAAGCGAAAGUGAUAAGUAUCCCACCUGGGGAGUACGUUCGCAAGAUUGAAACUC
rnacentral:rRNA from 1 species